AGUAACUUCCUCAUUAGAUCCUCAAAUAUGGAGAAAUCAAUAUUUAUUCCUUUCUGUUGCACUUAGUCCAGUGUCCCCCACACAGUAAACACUUGACUGGAAUUGGAUUUAAUUAGGGUUGUGUCCUGAAGAACAAUUUUUGUUUGUCAUUAGCGUGGUAGGCUUUAAUCCAAUAUGACUGCUGUCUUUUAAAAGGGGGAAAUUUGGACACAGAAAUGGAAUUAUAUAGAGGGAAGACAAUAUGAAGAGAGAUAAGGAGAAGACGGCCAUCUACAAGCCAAGGAGAGAGGUCUGGGACAUAUCCUUCCCUCAUAACGCCCUGAAGAAACCAACCUUGCUGACACCAUGAUAUUGAAUUUUAGACUCCAGAUAAGAAGACUGAGACCUAGAGGGGAGAAGAAGUUGUCUCAAGGUUUUCAUAUUAUCUUAGUAACAGAGUCAUGGAUAGAUAUUGGGACUGAAAGACCAGUGUUCCUUUCUACUACUACACAGCUGUUACAAAGCUGAUUUGUUGUUUUCACCAAAUGUAAUAUAUACUUUAUCAGCUAAACCAACAUAUUUCAACAUACAUCUGUAAUAAGGGCUUUCAGGAAUGAGGCAAAGAGAUUAAACGGGGACUACACUUCAAAGAAAAGAGUCACCCUUCUAUUUAUCCAACCAGGACUGAUUAAAUGUAGUAGGAGAUGUGGAAGAUGGAGGUCUCUGGGUCUGGCCCACAUCCCACAUAUUCACAGAGGAUCUUAAAGUUAAAUUUUGACUAACCAUUAAUGACAAUAAUGACAACAACAGCCACAUGGUACUUGCUAGGUAUGAGGACCUAUUCUGAGCCCUUUAUAGAUAAUAGCACAUAUAAUCCAAAUGAUGUUAAGAACUACAGUGAUACUUUAAGUGCAUGUUAAAACUGUUAUUAUGUUAAUAUUUUAAAGAUAAUACAAGUGUUGUGACCCUAUUUUGGCAUCACUUGUUUUCUUAAUACAUCAUAAGCUUCAAACAAUGAAAGAAGUCCGGAUCUACUGACCUUGGAAAAACUCUGCCCCCAUCUAUCAUCCAUCAUCCAUGUAUCAUUUAUCAUCUAUUGUCCAUCCAUCCAUCCAUCUACCCAACCACCCACCCAUCCACCCAACCAUCCAUCCAUCUGACAUUGCUGAGUUCUUCCCAUACACCAGGACCUGGGGUUGGUGCCAGUGAUAUGCAGAUGGAGAGAACAUAGUACCUGUGCUUCAGUUGUUCACAGUUUGUUUGGUAGAGUAGGAAUAAAUAUGAACAGACCAUAGAGCUUGGAAACCACUUGAAAACAGUAGCAUAGAGUACAGAGAGGAGGCACAUUGCCCAAUCUGUUUGCUUGAUUGUUUUAGAGGGAACUAUAAAGGAAGACUUGCCCAAGAAGGUGACACCUCAGAAGAGAUCAGGAGAAUAAGAAUUGAAGAUUCCAGUGAGAAUUCUUCAGCCAAUAAGUCAUAAUAUUCUUGGAAUAUCUGAUGAAAGUUGUUAUUACUCUAGAUAAAUACAUUUAUGUAUUUGCACAUAUAUUUCACCUUUUCAGAGGUGAGUUUAAAAUUCAGCUCCAUCACUCAAUAGCUGUGAGACUUUAGGUCUCAGUAACCUAAUUGGUAAAAUGAAAGUAACAAUAACACUUCUCAUCCUCUUGGAGUAGUUGUCACCAUCACAGCUGAAAUUGUGUAUCAGGUGCCUGCAGAGACUUGGCAAUCAAUAAGUUGUAGUUCCUUUUCUUUCCCUAAGUGGAACUUAAUUUUCAAAAGCAAUAAGAUCACAACAUAGCCAAGAGGGUAAAUUGAUCUUUCCUUGUUUCAUAUGGAGUCCAUUUUUUUC
ensembl:lncRNA